rnacentral:lncRNA from 1 species
CACAAAAAAUUGAUCCACGCUUAUCAGUUAAAAUUUCUGAAUACAUUAAAGAUGGUGUUUCUAAUGUGCGUGAGAUGAGAAGACUUUUAAAUAUUACUGUCAAUGAAAUGUUUGGAAAGAAAAAUCUUCCUUCUAGAACCAACAGAAGAUUUUAUCCAAGAACUGACAUAAUUCGUUCCCACAUGGUCAAAGAGCGUCUAAAGCAAAGAUACUCGAACAUCGACCAAGACUGCUUAGAAAUCAAAAUAAAAGAAUGGAAAGAAGCUGACUCAUCUGCCAAUAUCUAUUUUCGACCUAAAGAACGGGGUAACAGUGCUGAGCUCUUGUUUGUAUACCAAGCAUUUUGGCAAAAAAAAACUGCUAAAAAAAUAUGGGAAUGAGAUGUUGUUUUUGGAUGCAACAUACAAAACGACACGAUAUUGUUUACCUUUGUUUUUUUUGGUUGUCAAAACAAAUGUGGAUUAUCAAAUUGUAGCAACCUUUGUAAGCGAAAGCGAAACUUUUGAAUCGAUAUCUGAAGCACUUGUUAUCUUAAAUUCUUGGGAUGAAGAGUUGCAACCUCUUUAUUGCAUGACUGAUUAUUGUAAUGCUGAGAUACGUGCUCUCGAAACUAUUUUUAUUGGAUGUAAGGUAUUUAUAUGUGACUUUCACAGAGAACAGUCUUGGGACCGUUGGCUAAAAA